GAAGAUGGCGCUUGAAGGGCCAGAGCAGAUGGAGCUGGAGGAGGGGAAGGCAGGCAGCGGACUCCGCCAAUAUUAUCUGUCCAAGAUUGAAGAACUCCAGCUGAUUGUGAGUGAUAAGAGCCAAAACCUCCGGAGGCUGCAGGCACAGAGGAAUGAACUAAAUGCUAAAGUUCGCCUAUUGCGGGAGGAGCCACAGCUGCUGCAGGAGCAGGGCUCCUAUGUGGGGGAAGUAGUCCGGGCCAUGGAUAAGAAGAAAGUGUUAGUCAAGGUACAUCCUGAGGGCAAAUUUGUUGUAGACGUGGACAAAAACAUCAACAUCAAUGACGUGACACCCAAUUGCCGGGUGGCUCUAAGAAAUGGCAGCUACACUCUACACAAGAUCCUGCCCAAUAAGGUGGACCCAUUGGUAUCAUUGAUGAUGGUAGAAAAAGUGCCAGAUUCGACUUAUGAGAUGAUUGGUGGACUGGACAAACAGAUCAAGCAGAUCAAAGAAGUGAUCGAGCUGCCUGUUAAGCAUCCCGAGCUCUUCGAAGCACUGGGCGUUGCUCAGCCCAAGGGAGUGCUGCUGUAUGGACCUCCAGGCACUGGGAAGACACUGUUGGCCCAAGCUGUGGCUCAUCAUACAGACUGUACCUUUAUUCAUGUCUCUGGCUCUGAAUUGGUACAGAAAUUCAUUGGAGAAGGGGCAAGAAUGGUGAGGAAGCUGUUUGUCAUUGCACGGGAACAUGCUCUGUCUAUCAUCUUCAUGGAUGAAAUCGACUCCAUCGGCUCCUCACGGCUGGAGGGGGGUUCUGGAGGGGACAGUGAAGUGCAGCGCACAAUGCUGGAGUUGCUCAACCAGCUGGAUGGCUUUGAAGCCACCAAAAACAUCAAGGUUAUCAUGGCUACUAAUAGGAUUGAUAUCCUGGACUCUGCCCUGCUUCGCCCAGGGCACAUUGACAGAAAAAUUGAAUUUCCACCCCCCAAUGAAGAGGCUUGGCUGGAUAUUCUGAAGAUUCAUUCUCGGAAAAUGAACCUGACUCGGGGGAUCAGCCUGAGAAAAAUUGCUUAGCUCAUGCCAGGAGCAUCAGGAGCUGAAGUGAAGGGUGUGUGCACAGAAGCUGGCAUGUAUGCCCUGCGAGAACGGCGAGUCCAUGUUACUCAGGAGGACUUCGAGAUGGCAGUAGCCAAGGUCAUGCAGAAAGACAGUGAGAAAAACAUGUCCAUCAAGAAAUUAUGGAAGUGAGGGAACAGCCUUUGUGUGGAUCUUCCAAUAAAGCUCUGUAGGCCCAGUCAAAAAAAAAAAAAAGAAAAAAAA